AUGCAGGUAAAACAGUUUCUAUUAACUGGACUGUAUUAACUAAAAAGAGCUACACAAAGUUUUUACUUUAUCCUCACCUGCCAAUUUGAAAACUAUUGGUAAAAUCAUUAUUCAAUAGGCCAAUAUUUUCUAAAUUAGUAAGACUUACCUUACAAAAGUUAUCAGAUGAUGCUGAUAUUUCUCUUUCAAAGACUAAAACAACAGUUUUAGUCCUGAGCUGGUUGGUUCAUAUAAUAACUAAUAUACAUACUACAACUUUGAAUAUUAAUAGAUUGGCUGAAGAUUUUAGGUUUGAAGAUUAGUUUGAAAGCAAUGCAUUUGCUCCCGUGAAUCAUGAUGCAGAUUAUCCCCAUGUGUUUUACUGCCUGUCUAUGAAUGCAAAUGUUGUUACAGAAAAUAUGCUUGAAAUGUCAGCACAGUGUGCAGUUAGUAUUGCAUCAUCAUGCUUCAGCAUGUGAUACCUGUAUGAUGACAUAUUUCAACUACUCAGAUAUGUUACUGUAAUAAAAAUGUUUAACAUAAGAAAGC
rnacentral:lncRNA from 1 species